rnacentral:rRNA from 1 species
GUGGGAGUUGCAGCCGCAAUCUGCCGUGACUCAAAUGGCAACUAUCUUGGCGCGUCAGCGGUGGUCUAUGGGGGCGUACGCGACCCGAUGAUCCUGGAGACAUACGCGUGUCGGGAGGCUCUAGCGCGGGCAGAAGAUCUACACGAGCAGAAUAUCAAGGUGGCAUCGGAUUGCCAAGGUGUGGUGCAGGACAUCAAUGAAGGGACAGCUGGCCCCAAUGCGGCUAUUAUACAUGAAAUAACGAGCCGCAAAGAUAGUUUUACGUCUUGCUCUUUUGUUUUUGAGCGUAGGAAUUUUAAUUUCGAGGCUCAUAAUCUUGCUAAAUUUGCUUGUAACCUAGAUAUAGGUGGGAACGUAUCUGGUGCACCGGAGCAAUUGGUGCUACCGGUGCACCGGACCAUGUUACACAUUAAAAAAUGUUCGAAAAAAUCUGAGAAAAAUUUAGUGCAUCGACACAACAUCAAUGUAUGCUGUCACAAAAAUUCAAAUCAAAAUUCAAAAUAA